UGUUCUCUCGUGUCCUUCAGCGACAUCUGGUGACCGCCGAAGUGUAUUGCAGCCAAGGCUGAGACACGGACAGCAGAUUGCGAGAUUGGACAGCUGACCGGUCACGUGGAGCUGGUGGUUUUGGAUCCACCGGGCCACCUCAGGUUCACUGGACUGCUGUCCUGACCAAGGACCGUCCCGAGAUGCUGUGUACCCUGUCCGUUCCUGGUGCGACACCGUCGGAAAUCCACCUUCGCGGGCUUCUCGACAGCGGUGCUGACGUCACUGUUCUCUCCCUUGCCGCCUGGCCCUCGGAGUGGCCCCUGGAUCCGGUGGCGACAUCUGUCGCGGGCCUGGGAGGGACGGCGCAAUGUUACGUGGCCCAGCAGCCCGUGCUGGUCACGAACCCGGAGGGACAGAUGGCCUGGGUUAGGCCUCAUGUUACUUCCACUCCUGCCAACCUCUGGGGGAGGGAUGUUCUGUCUGCCUGGGGGGUGCGUAUUGGGACGGAUUUUUAAUGGGGGCCACUGCAGUGAAGGGCGCAGAGUGUCCUACGCCUCCUAUACGGUGGCUGGUGGACAAACCCGUUUGGGAGAAGCAGUGGCCCCUCACUGAUGAUAAAUUAGUCGCCCUUCGGAAUUUGGUGCAAGAGCAGUUGGACCAGGGUCAUUUGGAGCCUUCUGACAGUCCUUGGAACACUCCUGUCUUCUGUAUCAGAAAGAAGUCUGGGAAAUGGAGGUUGUUGCAAGACCUCCGGAAGGUCAAUGCCGUGAUGGAAAGCAUGGGACCAUUGCAGGCGGGCAUGCCAUCGCCUACCAUGCUUCCUGCAGGCUGGCCGGUCCUCAUUGUGGAUCUGAAGGAUUGUUUCUUUUCGAUUCCUUUGCAUCCCGAUGAUAGACCGAAGUUUGCCUUCUCGGUGCCAGCAAUUAACGAGGCUGAGCCCGCACAGAGAUAUCAAUGGAGGACAUUGCCUCAGGGCAUGCGUAAUUCUCCUGCCAUAUGCCAAUGGUAUGUGGCCCGUGCCUUGUCUGGAGUUCACAAGCAGUUUCCUGAUGCGCGUCUGUAUCAUUAUAUGGACGACAUUUUGGUGGCCGCGUCCACCCAGGAUGAGCUGCUGAGGAUUCAGCCUCGGUUGCUCGAUGCUUUGCAUGCCCAUGGACUGCAGGUGGCUCCAGAAAAGGUCCAACAGAAACCACCUUGGAAGUACUUGGGGGUCAAGAUUCUGGAAUGGACAAUCUGUCACCAGGAGGUGCAAUUUGUGCAUUCUGUGAAGACACUGAAUGAUGCUCAGAAAUUGGUAGAUGUCAUCACUUGGUUAUGUCCGUAUUUGGGAUUAACCAAUGCACAGCUGUCUCCUCUGUAUGAUUUGUUGAAAGGAGACUCUGAUCUAAAGUCGCCUCGCACACUGACCCCUGAGGCGUGUAAGGCAUUGGAGGUGGUUCAGCAAGCUGUUUCGGCUUGUCAGGUUUAUCACAUUGAUCCCUCCGUUGAUGUCACUGUGUUCAUCACCACUCCAGAUCUGCAUCCCACAGGUAUCAUUGGUCAAUGGAGUGACAAAUGGUCUGAUUCCUUGCACGUUCUGGAAUGGGUUUUCCUGCCCCAUCAGCCGCAGAAGACGGCAACUGCAUUGUUUGAGCUAAUUGCUCGCUUGAUAAUCAAAUGCUGACAAUGGUGUUUGCAAUUGAUGGGUGCGGAUCCUGCAGAGAUCAUACUCCUGGUACAACGGAAGGAUUUUGACUGGAGCUUUGCAAACAGUGUGUCCCUGCAGAGUGCUCUGGAAAAUUUUUCAGGGCAGAUCACUUAUCAUGUGCCCAGCCAUAGGCUGUUGCAUAUGGCGAAAUCCACACAAAUCUCUUUGAGGCCCAAGAAUAGUCAGGAACCCGUGCAAGGACCCACCGUCUUCACUGACGGUUCAGGGAGAACGGGAAAGGCCAUUGUCACCUGGAGGGAUGGAUCUGAGUGGCAGGUUCUGGAAGGCCAUGAGGAUGGGUCAGCCCAAUUGGUUGAACCGAGGGCUGCUGUCAUGGCAUUUGAGAAAUUUUCCCAGGAACCUUUCAACUUGGUCACGGAUUCCGCCUAUGUGGCUGACAUCGCACAGCGGUUGGGUCAUUCGGUUUUGAAGGAGGUCAGUAAUCCUGCCUUGUUUCAUUUACUGAAGACCUUGUGGUGUGCCAUUCAGGCCCGAGUUCAUCCAUUUUAUGUUCUGCAUGUGAGGAGUCACACCGAUUUGCCAGUUUUUAUAGUAGAAGGUAAUGCGAGGGCUGACAAGUUGGCUAACCCAGCGUGGGUAGUGCCUCAGCCUGAUACACUCGUGCAGUCCGAGGCAUCCUGUGGGUUUUUCCACCAGAAUGCACAUACCCUGCAGAAGCAGUUUCAGCUGACACCAACUGAGGCUGGUGACAUUGUCGAGUCAUGUGAUGACUGCCAUGCGCUUGCUCCGCCUUUGCUGGCAGGGGUAAACCCCAGAGGCCUUAGGGCCUUGGAGCUUUGGCAGACCGAUGUCACCCAGAUUGCCGAGUUUGGCCAGCUCAAGUAUGUGCAUGUCACGGUGGACACGUUCUCCUCUGCGAUGUGGGCUUCGGCUCACACUGGGGAGAAGGCCCGUGAUGUCCUUGCCCACUGGAGGCAGGCCUUUGCCGUUCUGGGCAUACCUUCUGCUGUGAAAACCGACAAUGGUCCUGCUUACGCAUCACAAAAGGUGCGGCAGUUCCUGCAGUUGUGGGGUGUCUUGCACAAGUUUGGUAUCCCUCAUUCUCCAACUGGUAAAGCUCUUGUAGAAUGCGCUCAUGGUACUCUGAAGCAGGUUCUGCAAAAACGGGGAAUGCAGGGUGAAACCCCGCACAGUCGGUUGGCAAAAGCUUUGUGCACAAUCAAUCAUCUCACAGUGCCGCAGAACUCAAAUAACCCUGUUAUUUUGAAUCACCAUCUCUCAUUACAGGCUGCGGACGAGGCACAUCAGCUUCGAGCGAAAGUUCGGGUGCGGAAUUUAGUCACCAAACAGUGGGAAGGUCCCUAUGACCUUAUCGCUUCGGGGCGCGGGUAUGCUUGUGUAUCCACAGAUACUGGGGUACGCUGGGUACCUUCAAAAUGUGUUCGCCCUGACCUGCGACCGCAGAGACAGAAUCCAGCUGACAGGCAAGAUGGAAACCGUGACCAACCUGAAAGGCAUCAAGCGGGGGAAUCAUUGAGUGAUGAUUCGGAUGCAGAUGUUGAGAGUGAUCACUCCGAUGACUCCUCUGCAAGUGGACAUUGAACGUUGUUCAUAUCUUCCUUUUCACAUUGUUCAUUUUCUUUUCCUUUUUCUUUUUAAACGGAAAAGGGUGAGAUGUCACCCUGGUUUUUUAAGAUUUUCUAAGCCUUCUGAUGUUGACAUUCCUGGAGUGAAUUUUCUCACACACUUUCUGUAAAUAACUCAUUGUUUUACAUUCCUUUAUGGAGGAGGAGAGAGUUGAUGGACUGUUGGUUUGACCAGUGACAUUGCAGAGGUGUCAAUGUCACCUUCCAAUCCACUGUCACUUUUGUAAAGCUAUAAAUAUUGGAGUCAGAGAAUAAAACUUCCCUUUUUUCCCUUCA